rnacentral:lncRNA from 1 species
GAGAGUUCUGGAGCUGUGCUAACAGCACUCACAAUCAAUGAAUAAAGUUUGCUGUAUUGUUUUUUUUUUAAAAAAAAGCGCGAAGAAAUCUCCAAAUCGCAUGAUGGUCCGGGAAACCGUAGCAUCUCGAUCGCUUGAACACUGCAUUUUAUUCCUCCAUCAUCAUAAACAUGACAUCCAACCUAGACAUCGAGCAUGCAGUACAUCCUUCACUCCGAUCAAGAAAGACGCAUACAGUACAGCAUACUACACUGCAUGUACCAACAAGACGACACACAUGCACAUACAAAUAAAGCACAACACAUAUAACGACUAGCUAGAGCUAGCACGGCGACCAAGACUCUACGGCAGCGUAUAGUACGUACGUAGCAGCAGCGGCAGCCGUAGGGCCAUGCCGCGCCGGCGGUGGUCGCGCGCCGCCGCCGUACGUACGCCACCCCGCGCGCGCGGUAUCCAGGAGCAGGAUGACACGCGGUCCGCUCUCGCGCGUGUGCAUCUCAAGACCCCUGCGCCUGGUCGAUGCGGUGCUGCGCUGCGUCCUUGAUGUCGCGGGCCUUGGACGCCAGCCUCGCCUUGGCGUGGUCCAGCUGGUCGGCGCCCGGCGGGUGCUUGCCCGUCAGGUACUUGUACAUCCAGGAGAAGACGGACAGCGCGGCGACGCCGAGGCCGCCGGAGGUGACGAACCCGGCGGCCAUGAGCGCCAGCGCGAUGGCGGCCGGCACCAGCACCGGGCUGAAGAUCACCAGCACCGGGGUGGCGACCGUGAGCGCGAUCACGGUGCCCGCCAGGAUCAGCCCGGACAGCACCAGCAUCGACCCGCCGAAGGUCGCGGCCGUCGCCGCCUUGAUCGCCGUCAUCAUGGCGCCCUGCUUCUGCUGCUGCUGCUGCGACUCGCCGUACAUGCCGGCGCCGCCCCCACGGUUGUAGUCGCCGUAGCCACCCGCGCCACCUCCCGUCCCGCCCCGGUGGUGAUCCGCCAUGGCAAGCUGCUUAGCUUAGCUUAGCAGAGCGAGCUAGGUAGUACCACCACGUGCGCACACUGCCCAGAGCGCCUGCUGCAGCUGAUGCUACGGCUACGAGUGAGGUGGACGAGGGCCAGGGAGAGCGGGGCGUUUAUAGAGGGCGUGGGGAUGCGCGGAGGCGGGACCUGGCGCCGCCGCGUGGGACGCAUGCGAGACUCGUGUCCGGAGCCGCGCGACACCUGUGUAGGGGGGGUGUCGACGAGACGACAAGGCGUGCGUUGCGCGAUCGCGCCGCUUCCGCGCGGCGAUACGUACGAGGUUGUGGACGGACGCUCACUUGGAUCGGCCGCUGGUUGCCGGAGGACGGAGGUGAAGGUGACGGGGCCGAAUCUCAUGUGGGCCGUAGUCUGGGCUUUUUUUCUCUCUUGCCUUGCGUGUCUCUGAAGUCCAGUUCCGUGUCUCGCUAUUAGCAGGCUUGCAAUAGUCUGGGUCCAUGCAAUAAUUUGUGUGCCCGUUGGCCCAUUCGUUCACCUCACACCAUAUGCUCCAUUUUUCUUCUUUUUUUUAUUAAUUAAAAAAAGAAGUGUUUGGUACAGUAUGGACUUCGCCUGAUUCCGAUGCUGGCGUGUAAAGUCAGGAGGCCUUGGAAACUGAAAAGCUCUGACGAGGAUACUAGGCGAAAGGGAGACAGGAAUCAACGUUUUGGAGCCGUUCAAACCGCUGCUAGCAGCUAGCAUGCCUUGCUUUUCGAGAUGAACCACUGAAGCUAAGCUACUACUAGCAUCAAGCUGGGCACCUAAUUUCGACAUUAUUGUGUCCCUCCCCGUUCUUAUUGGACUAGGUGGAGCGGUGACACAUAAGAUCAGUUUCUUCUACCGGUCAAAAUCGAUCUUCCAGAUUUUGGCUGCAAAUUUGCUUCGCUUCAAGUGUGUUCGUGGUAAAGGGCAUGUUUGGUGAAGCUCUAUCUAAUUCUGAUUCUUGGUGAAAAGUGAUUAUGUGACUUACAGUGAUUCUCUUCGAUUCUUUAAUAUAAACUCUUAAAAUCACAGUAGAGAAUGACUACACAGAAUCAAUAGAAACUACUUUUUACAGCCUCUUAGUUCAUUUCAAAAAAUUAUUCAACACAGAAAAUCAAUUCUCUCUAAAAAAAACUCUGUUUAGCAGAGUUCUUAUUGGAUUUAGUCCACAAUAAGCUUGGGAGCUUUGCUAAUCGGGACCUAAAAUUCUCAUUGCGUAGGACAAUGCCUUCCACGUCAAACCUAUGUGGCUGGUGCCCUGCCACUCCUUUGGCAGCUUGCCCUGUGCACAGCUGCAUUUGCUUGGUGCUAUACCGUAGUACUUCGAUGGGAACAGUUCCGCUCCAAUUAAGGGCUUGUUUACUUCCAAUUUUUUUUGCAAAAUAGGAAUAGUAUCACUUUCGUUUGUAUUUGACAAAUAUUGUCCAAUUAUAGACUAACUAGGCUCAAAAGAUUCGUCUCGUCAAUUUCGACCAAACUGUGCAAUUAGUUUUUAUUUUUAUUUAUAUUUAAUACUCAAUGCAUACGUCUAAAGAUUCGAUGUGACGGAGAAUGUGAAAAAUUUUGCAAAAUUUUUGGGGAACUAAACAAGGCCUAAACCAAAUACGCCUUUUUGCAAGGAAAAAAAAAUCGAAGUACAGCCCUUUCCACUCCAAAAUGCCAAACUAAGCGUGCCUUUGUAUCGCUAGCUCUCUUCUCCUUUCCGUACCUUUUUCAUUUCAUCAUGCUAAUAAAAACACAUUAUGAGUUCAUGACCCACUCCACUAUUCAUGAAACAGUGGCCUGCUUUUGCCCCCAUGACCUGUACUCAGUCAGGUGCCAUACUGAUCGACCGGCAAGUAGGCGGAUCAUAUACACCUUUUUCUCUUUUUGAAUUUUGAUGCCCCCCUUUCCACCCAGAACCAGAAUACCCAACAAGUUGGAAAAAGAAAAAGAAAAAUAAACAUCUCAUAUAUACUACUCCCUCGGCCCGUGGCCCAAGUCCAGCUGUUGCGCAACACGACAACGCUGUGGUGGAUACUGCCUAGCUGGGAUCAGUCAUCAGUGAGGGUAAUCCUCCGCCUCCUCCUCCUCCUGUAAUCCACUGUGACGAGUGACGGACGCAUGCUUAUCCCUCUUUAGAUUACACAAGUCGAGGAUAAGCACGUACUUACGUGGGUGGGGCUCUGAUUUUUAUCUCGUUUCGUUAGGAGUAAAGACGAGCGCUCCAGCUUCUUUCAUCGCUUGCUUGUGUUGUGCUGCGUCUUUCUCCCUUUCGUCUCUCUCCAGUACCACCGCAAAGCAGCAGCAAGAUGGCGACGCUGACGCCUUCGCGCCACUUGCUCCACCGAGCUAUCCUUCGGCAGUCGGCACUCUGACAGAUUUGUUUCCUAUUUCAAAUGAGCGAACACGCAUAUGAGCCUUGUUUACUUCCACCCAAAACGAAACUAAUUACACAGUUUGAUCAGAAUUUACGAGACAAAACUUUUGAAGCUAGUUAGUCUAUAGUUAGAUAAUGAUUACUACAAACAAAUCAAAGUGCUACAAUAUCAUAAAAUUUUUCAAUGCAGGAACUAAACACGGCCAUGGUUAAACCCUUUCGUUUUGUUUUUUAUCUUUACACUCCAAAUCCAAUGUACUCGUACAUCUUCAAGCUGGAGCUGUGCUACCACCUCUCGAUAUAUCGCUGCCGUGGGCAACCCACCUUCCUACUACGUCAGCGUUUGGUUACUGCUGGGCUCUUAACAAUUUUGGUUUUAGACUUUCAGGGGGCUGAUUUACGAUUUCGGCAUGGGAUUUCGAUUUCGUGUCAUGAGUUCAGGUCGCUGUUCUGUUGACUUGCGCGCCUGUUUUUAGCCGCUGGAUAUUUAUCAGAUGAUGAUGGCGCACUCAUUGGUGGUACCAACGAACAAAGCAGAUUGUUCUUGAUCUCAUCGUCUCCCUACGUUUUUUCUUUUGUCUGUACAGUUUUUAUCAGCAGCACAUCACAACCACACCCCACCCUGACAAGUGACAACGACGCAUAUACCGAAAAAUUCGUUCGCAGACAAGACACUUGAUUACACACAGACAGCUUCUUCCGUUCCACUUGCGCGAGUUGCACGGAGGAGCAACAGCGGCAUCCGGAGCGGAGCUCGUCCGGAUCCCAAUCCAAUUGCUCCCGAGCUUAUCGCAUUCCAUCCGCUGGAGCUGUCACCGGGAUGCGCGCGCGCGCGCGCCCCCGUCGCAUUCGUGCACCGCGCAAGUGCCGCGCAGCUCCUUGUCCCGUAGGAGCCUUGGCUGGCGCAUCAUCCGUCGCGGCACGCCUCAUUGCCUCGCCGCGGUGCCCGGUGGCUGGCUGGCUGGCUCUGACCGAUCGGCGCAGGGCUAGAUGACGAGCUGCUCCACGCGCGGCGCCAUCGCCGCCUGCUCGACCGGCGCGGCAGGGAACCAAGGCUGGGCCGGCCGGUUCAGCUGGGAAGGCGGGGGCACCAGCGCCAUGGCCAUGUUGGCGGCGGCGGCCUCGCCUCGCUUCCGCCUCUUGGGCGAGCCGCUGGUCGAAGACGAGGAGGUGGUGGAGGAGCAGGACGAGAAGGACGAGUCCGAGGAGGAGGUGGCGGGCUCGGGCGACGGCCGCUUGUCCCCGGCGGUGGCCGCGGCGGCGAUCUCGGAGCCGAUGCGGAGCGGGAAGUUGAGGAGCGCGCGGGAGCCGCGCAUGCGGUAGGCGGCGCGGUCGUAGGCGAGCGCGGCGUCCUCGGCGGUGUCGUAGGUCCCGAGCCAGACGCGCGCGCCGUUCUUGGCGGGGUCCCUGAUCUCCGCCGCGAACUUGCCCCACGGCCGCUGCCUGACCCCUCGGUAGUGCUUGCCCCUGGCCACGGCCGCCGCGGCCGCCUCCCGCCUGGGCGUGGCGGCCGCCUCGCUGCUGGGCGUCAGCGGCUCCGCCGGGUCCAGGAGGAGGCCGCCGAAGCAGCAGGAGGAGCCGUCGUAGGAGUAGGAGUAGGAGUGGGAGUCCGGGGACAGCGCCGGCUCGGGCUUGACGUGCGCGAAGGAGCCGUCGGGCAGCCAGCCGUAGGCGAAGGCGUCCUGCAGCGCCCCGAACACCACCAUGUCGUCGGCGUCGUCGGUGCGGAACGGGAGCGAGCCGCUCCACUGGUCCGCCACCAGGCUCCCGAAGCUCUCGUCCCCCGCCGCCGCCGCCGCUGGCUCCUCCAGCAGGUGCUGCCGGAUGGUGUCCAGCACCAACGCCUCCGACGCCGGGUUCAGCAGCAUCCUUUCCUUCCUGGAAUCGAGCUCUCUUUCUGUUUGGUUUAUGAGCUGACGAAGCUAGGAGGGAGUGAGCUGUUUGUCGAAUGGGGAAAUGGGAAUGGAAGAAGUGAUGGAGUUGAACGGCGAGGGCUGGGCCGGGGGCCCGGUUUAUAUAGCCGGACGAGGGUUCACACCGGCGUCGCGGUUCGUUGAACUUUCCUACCCUGGAGCCACGUGACGGAAUGGGUUUUUUUUUUUUCGGGGUAAAAAUUAAAAUAAGCAGGGGUCGCGGCCCAGUUAGGCGACGCUAAUGCUAACACUAGUGCUGCUGACUGCAAUCUAGUAGUCGAGCAGUUUGCGGGGAGGGCCCGCUCGCUUUCCGCGCCCGGCCGUUGGUUAGAUUAGAUUAGAAGGAUCGGAUUAGCAAGCGGUCCGGUGGCGUGCGUCAGCGAUGAGGUCGGCGUCAGCUGGAGGUGGAUCGCGGGCGGGCGGGCGGGCUCAUCCCGUCCCGUCCCGUCGUGGCGUGGGGGCACGAAGGCGCAGGGGCUCGGGGUCGUCGUGCCUCGUGCUCGUGCUCGUGCGUGCCGCGGCGCUGCUGUUGGCCCGUGCCGUGCCACCGCUCGGUGCUUUCUAGAUGGUCCGACGCCUGCCCUUCCUGCCCUGGUCUUGCCCGUGCCCGGGGCGCAUAUGCGCCUCGGGGCAUCGGGCUAAUUCACACGGCGAUCCCGUGAUGAUCAAGAAGGGACGACACUUCUUUUCGUCCAAAAUAAAAGAAAGGCAAGCGAGGCCUUUUCCCCAUGUCUUUUGGUGAUUAUUAUUAUUAUUAUUACGAAAAGCUCUUCGAAUCGGGUCUCUUCAGAAGCUGACUUUUGUAGAUAAUCUAGAUAAUCUCGUGACACCAAGCCCUGAGCUCCUGACCUGCAUGCAUUUCUCUCGUGUUCUUGUAGACGAGAGGCAUUUUGUUCCAAUUGAAAAUUCCACCGCCGUAAGCAGAUCAAAGAGCGCGGAAUCGACAGCCGGGGAGCCGUGACAAGACCAAGACCUGUCUGUAUUCAAUGCGGUGGCCCUGUCGUAGGAAGAAAUGGCGUGGAAGUCAUGUGGUGCAUUGCUUCUAGACCACCGUCUCGUGGUUGCACUAGAACACGAGAGGAUAGAGACGGCCACCGCUUUUGUGUUGGGGACCGCCAUAUGAGGAGACGAGAACAGUAGUAGCGCUUGAAAGCAUCAACAGCUACUGUCCUCUGGACUUCUGAAAAUCUGAACGAAGAGGUACGCUGUAGGCUGCAGGCUGCAGCGUGCCUUGUUUCCUUCCCGCUGAGCUUCUAGUUCUAGAUAUGUACUACUACUCGUAUCAACGUAGCGUGAUCGUCCAAAGGCGGAUGAUCUGAUCCACUCAUCCUGGUAUCCACGCACGUUCGUAAUAAUACCCUCAUUGCCGGUGUAGUUUGUAGUGUACCAUUGGGACUUGGGAGUAUCCAGAAAACGUUGGCAGUUUUCGUUACGACCGAUAUGGUGCAAUGGCAGGAACUGAGUGUGGACUGAAAGAUUUCGGCCGUGUUUACUUCCCGAACCAAAAAAUUUCGUGACACUGUAGCAUUUUCGUUUGUUUAUGAUAAUUAUUGUCCAAUUAUAGACUAACUAGGCUCAAAAGAUUUGUCUUGUAAAUUUCGACCAAACUGUACAAUUAGUUUUUAUUUUUGUCUAUAUUUAAUACUCUAUGCAAGCGUCUAAAGAUUCGAUGUGACGAAAAAUCUUGAAAAUUUUAGAUUUUUGGGUGGAAGUAAACAAGGCCUUCAGGGCCGUAACGUCCUUUGCCAGCUAGCUAGGGUGAAUGGGUGAUCCUCGACUGCUAAGCUUUCUCUGUGACAGAUCUGAGACGAGCACAGACAUGCUGUUGUCCGAGAAUUGUUUUAACAGCGGGGCACGUGAUUUUCUCCGGAUCACGACUCCGGAGGACACAUUAGCUGUGUGGAAGUCUUGGAAAAGCUAUAUAUAUAUAUAUAUAUAUAUAUAUAUAUGGUCUCGAGAAGUUUUGUUCCAGCAAUCGAUUGCGACGCGCCUACUAUUUGCAUAACAUAGUGGAGUGUGGCCAGGGGGCUAGGGGCGUUUCGUCACUUUCUUCAGGAGAUGUGCGAAUUGGUAAAAUUUCAGGGUGCAUUGCCAGAAUCAGUUUAUAGCAUCAGUUUAUUACGAAACGACACUUGCACGAACGCUAGUUUCUUAAUCUCACGGCGAUGUCCAUUUAGAAAAAUUUCUGAGUUGCUUGUUGGAUAGUGAUCAGGUCCAUAGAAAAUUUUGCCCAUUGUUGGACAGUAGUGAUUCUUCGGAGAGCUGCUUAUAAGGUCUGAAUCGGAACAAAACCCGGCAGCUCAGACUUCUUAUCAAGGCUGAUGACGACGGUUUUAGGGUUUCAUUCGUUAAUGUCAUCGCUAGCUCGACACUGCCCCUGAUCCGGCCACAGGCUGCUGGUUUCCGGUGCCAACCACCAUCCGAAUAUCCGUCACUGAAAGCCAAACAAAGCAGCUAGCUCUAUCUAUGGGUGGGGGGCAGUACGCCACGCCACGCCACGCCAGGAACAGAGAGUUAAGACUAGUCAAAGGUCAAGACGGACUUUGACCGUGGACUAGUCCGGAGCUGCAGGCCCCAGCCCCCACGUCUGGGCUCCAGUCUACAGAAGAGGAGGCCGUGCCACUACCAUCGGGUCGGGAUGGAGGUCACGGGCGCAGCGAAGACUUGCCUUGUCGUGCGUGCAGGAGACGUCAUGAUCCACGGCCUCAACGGCAGCGGCAGCUUCUCGGCUCCUUCCUUCCUGCCUGCCGUCAUGCUUCUGCUGCCUGCUCGUACAGGCACAACGCUUCCUUCGUGUACCGUCACUGCCGUCCGAUCUGGAACGGACGCCCCCGUAUUGACUUCCACCCCAUACAGGAUCGAUCGACAUGUACAUGCCGAUGUGUAUUGUGGCGCAGUAUAUAUAGUCAUGGGACUAGGGCCUUGUUUAGUUCACCCUGAAAACUAAAAAGUUUUCAAGAUUCUCCGUCACAUCGAAUCUUGUGUCACAUGCAUGAAACAUUAAAUAUAAACGAAAACAAAAACUAACUACACAGUUUAGCUGUAAAUCACAAGACGAAUUUUUUGAUCCUAGUUAGUCCAUGAUUGGAUAAUAUUUAUCACAAACAAACGAAAAUGCUACAGUUCCGAAAAGUUUUCACUUUUCGGAACUAAACAAGGCCUAGCUACGAAGAAAUCAAAGGACCCUGUUGACUCCACUGCCCAAUCUGUUUAAGGGCCUGUUUAGUUUCCCACCCAAAAAAUUUUUCAUCCAUCCCAUCGAAUCUUUAGACACAUGCAUAGAACAUUAAAUGUAGAUAAAAAAAUAAACUAAUUACACAGUUAAGUUGAGAAUCGCGAGACGAAUCUUUUAAGCCUAGUUACUCCAUGAUUAGCCUUAAAUGCUACAGUAACCCACAUAUGCUAAUGACAGAUUAAUUAUGCUUAAUAAAUUUGUCUUGCAGUUUCUUGACGAGUUAUGUAAUUUGUUUUUUUAUUAGUUUCUAAAAAACCCUCCCGACAUCCUUCCGACACAUUCGAUGUGACACCUAAAAAAAUUUUCAUCCCCAAUCUAAACCGGCCCUAAGCUUGAGGCGACAGCAACGGCAGGCGACAGUCGGAACUUCCGAAGACCUUUAUCUGGUCUUCAACGUGCUGAAGACUUCACUCCCGCCUACCUGUAGCUUUUCUCACUGCCUGCCUGCGGCUGCACUCCAAAGCAUCGGAUGUGGUUUUACCUGAGAGGAGUAGUCCAUCUUGUCCACGGUCUCCCCAAGGACUCUGACCGCACGUUUCAUCAGUUAAGUCGAUGGCAUCAUCAAAUGCUAAAAACUUUGCGGCGAGAAUCGUCAAGGGGCGCUUGAAAACGACGGUGUUUUCUAUUCGGUGUACGUGCGAAUCGACCUUUCCACGAAGCACGAAUUAGUCCAAGUUGGAAGAGGGCACUACCUUCUCGUCUUCUCCGCAAGGCCACGACGCGGCUUUGUUUAGUUCACUCCGAAAUCUAAAAAAUUUUCAAAAUUCUCUGUCAUAUCGAAUCUUGCGACACAUGCAUGAAGCAUUAAAUAUAGACGAAAACAAAAACUAAUCACACAGUUUAACUGUAAAUCACGAGACAAAUCUUUUGACUCUAGUUAGUAUAUGAUUUGAUAAUAUUUACUACAAACAAACGAAAGUGCUACCGUUCCGAAAACUUUUCAUUUUCGGAACUAAACAAGGAGUGCGCGCGGCACACAGCCACAUGCCGUGGCACUUCUAUGUCUCGGGAAAGCUUCGAUGACUGAGGCCCUUGUUUAUUUUCAAAAAAUUUUGCAAAAUUUUUCAGAUUCCUCUUCACAUCAAAUCUUUAGACGUAUGUAUGAAAUAUUAAAUAUAGACAAAAAUAAAAACUAAUUGCACAGUUUGGUCGGAAUUGACGAGACGAAUCUUUUGAGUCUAGUUAGUCCAUGAUUGGAUAAUAUUUGUCAAAUACAAACGAAAGUGAUACUAUUCCUAUUUUGCAAAAUUUUUUGAACUAAACAAGACCUAAAGCUGCUCGGCUCUUUCUGCUCUGCCUGCGCCCAUGUACACGAGUAGGAUCGACGUCUUGACGUGCACAAUCGAAGCUCCUCAAUCUCGGUCGUACGUGAUUACUGUUUGCUUAAUUAAGCUGUAUGCAUGUUUAUUAGUGUACAGCAGAAGCUACCUCGAUAGAUUAAUAUCCAAAGUGCCUAUCAGAUGAUGCAUGCUGAAUUCUUUGUUAUUUAGCAAUUAACAAUUUGACUUUUAUCGUUCUAUUCCCAAAUGCAUUGCUCAACGUAUCGGGUAUAAACCUAGCGAACCGAGUGUCAACGAAGUAUGCAGUACCUAACAGUGAUGCCUGUACAAGAGACAAACGAGUUCGCGCGAUGAGCAUGCAAGUGUCACCGAUGGAGCCGUACCCGAUGACCAUGAGAGUAUGAGACCUCUGCCUGAUCCAAUCCAAAUCCAAUCCACGACUAGCUAUCCCUGAGCAAAGCAAACGGAAGAUCUCCUUUCUGCAAAGCCCUUUUCACACACCUAUCGUCAAAAACCGUUUCCUUGUCCCGUUGUCCCGAGUCCUCCUGAACUCCUGAUGUGACAUGCAUGGCCGAUGGAGUGAACAGUGAUGGCUCAUGGCUCUCCGCGCGCAAAGAGGAUCGAUCGAUCCAUCGGCGAAAGGUUCCCUUCAUCGACGUCAAGUCCAGCGACCAAUGCAAAGAAGCCCAGCGCGCGCGACUCGCACGAUUCGUCGUACUCUUAUAGAGAAAUGAUAGGGCGCGCUUAUACCAUAAAAUUUUGGCAAACCAAUGGCAAUAUAAGCCAACAAAUUUCAUAAGUUGCUUUGGCAACAUAAUAAUUUGACCAAUAUUAAAGCUUUUAGCAUAUAUUUUCCACACCAAAAUUAGAGAAGUUUGUUUUUUAAAUUAAGAGAAGCCAUACAUACUAAUACUAAUAGUUCUAAACUGACUUCACCAAAUCAUUCGAUGAUUCAUCCUUAAUCAAUUUUUAAACAAUUAACUAUGUGAAAAGGGCAAAUAAAAAAUGAAGAUACCUGCAACCCGGCGCAGGUUAUUAGGUUCCGCAAGUUUGUGAAUUAGCGAGAAAGAAGACCAGAAAGUCAGAAGUCGAGAAUAGCGAGAAACAUAAGAAAGGUCAAUCGUAUUCUUAUUGCAACCACACAUGAUAGUCCAAGACGUCUAAGUUUGUCUUCAAAACCUCCGUCAGAUACUCGAGGAGCCUAUUUUUAUUUUGCACUAAUCUCUAAAAUUUCCAUAGAAUUCAGAUCAAUCCUAAGAGGACCUAGGGCGGCCGCCCUGGCUCGCCCUGGUGGUGGAUCCGCUAUGCUCUUAUCAGCGUGACAGCGAGGGUGUGUGUGGGAAGCGGUGGAGUUGUGGCAGUCUCCUCCUCCGCUAAUAUGUUCGCGUUUGCGUGCGAAACCAAACAAACGCCUCGAAGCGGAAAUAUGCAUAUAUAGCGCAAUAAUUUAUGCGGGGUAAACUCAAGCCAUGGACGUCUCCAGCGAUGUGCCGCGAUCGUAUAUUACGUUAAUAUAAAUAUCUGCAAUUUAUAUGUGCUCCGAUCCUUCUACGCUGUUUCGGCCGUUGUUAGAGUCUCCGAUAAUCUGGCGGAUCCAUUUUUCCACGCUUGAUGGAACUGGGUCGAGUGGAAAAAAAAAAAUUAAAGGCUCUGUUGCGUGGGUGAGGAUGAGACUCUGGAACGGCUAAUGGCAUGCUGACACACAGGCCGUCAUCGCACGAUCGUCUCACGUGCAGCCGCGAGUACACUGUACGCAGUACACGCGUACGGGAGGGCGAUACGUGCCAAGCCAAAGACUUUUCCGCAUUAGCGAGGUGCUAGCUUAGCUCCAUGUCCAUCCAUCAGGUUUCUUAUUUUAGAUUAGAUCCGAGCUUUUGCACCAAAUUAAACAAUCCCACGAAUCAACUGGGGACGGAGACGGGUUUGGCUACGUAGUACUGGCCCCAGUGGUGGCAGCAUACACUGAAUCUGGCUCCACGAAUCAUCAGGUUUCUUAUAUAUCACCACACAUGCUUCAGUGCUGCUCAGACUUUUCAGACUUCCUUUUUAAUUCAGGCUCCAGAAAUUCGUGUUUUCUGUUGUAUUACGGCCUUCAAUUUCUAUAUAUAUAUACAAGUACUGAAGUACGACAAGCGUUAUACGACGUAUGUGCUCCGUGGAUUAUUGAGGCGCUAGUCCCCGUGAGUUUCAGACUUUGUGUUCGUGGGGAUAAGAAUGAGAUUUUCCGUGAUAAAUCCACAUCUAUAUCAGGCAUCAGUGUCUUGUAGGCCUGGCAUCAUUUGCGGAAUCGCCGACGUGGACGUGUGGCGCCAAGUUGGCUGCCCCGUAUGGCCGUAUUGGGUUCAUCGCAUCCAGGCCGGAAAACGAAAGUCCCCACCUGAACGGAAAGUUUUUUUUUUUUCUUUUGAGCUCAAAAUGGCCCUCAUGGCCUCGAACGAAAUCCGCAUGGAGGCAUCAUGGAUAAAAUAUGAGCCUCGCGUGCAGCACCAUACACUGCACAUGUACAAGAGAGACUUAAUUAUGGAUGCAACGGACCGGCAAAGACGCGAAGUGACAGCCACUCGCCCCUUGGAAGCUCGCUUGAUCACCUCUCGCAUCCAUGCAGUCUGGUUUAUUUUGGUUUACCAUAGCUAGUUCACUACUUUCUCCUUUCAAAAAAUAGCAGUCGUUCUCUUUUUUUUUAAAGAAAUUAUUUUUUUAAUUUUAAUAAAGUGUAUAUAAAAAUAUUGAUAUCUAUAAUACAUAAUUAAUAUCAUUCGUUGAAUAUAUUUUUAUAAUAAAUUUAUUUAAAGUUAUACAUAUUUUAUGUAAAUCUAGUUAAAAUUGAGAAAGUUGAUAACGGUUGAAGUACACCCCAGUCCCUGAGGCAAAGCCGUUUAGAUUUCACAUAAAGGUCCCGUUUGAUUUCCCUUGCUAAAUUUUAGCUAGCUAAAAUUAUUUUAGCUACACUUGAUGACUAUUGAAACUAAACUAUUUUAGCUACUUUUAGUCAAUGUGUUUGGAACUUUAGCUACUAAAGUAACUAAAAUUUAGCAAGUGGACCAAACAGGGCCAAAGUCUCCAUGCAUUCGAUUGAAUGGAGUUAUAAAUAAUCAUUUAAAAAUGUCCUCUGAUCGAGCAGUAUAUGUAUGAUGGAAAUAAGUUAUAAUCAUAUAUGGAUUAAUUUAUUAUUUUUUAUGCGACCUGUGUGGGUGAUGUGCCGUUGCAUCGUAUCAUAGGAGAAAGCAAGUCCAACAAUUACAGGACAAAUUGCUAAACCAAAAGGACCGAAAAAAGAACAGGCAGCUUUUGCCGCCGCGAUGCUAAUAAGGCCAGGCCCAACGCACCAGCGUGGCUUGUAGCCUCGGCUUCCACGUCCGCACCAGACUGCCACCUCAACUCGAUUGAUGGCCUCGCAGUUGGUGAUGGGAUCUUGCAGAAGCAGCGUAUGCUUCGUCAGGUAAAAGCUGCAGGCAGCUAGCAAGUUUUGCGUUGGAUGAACGAGGCACCCAAAUACAUACUAUGAGGAAGUCUGCAACCGAGUAAAAAGCAAAAGCAACUUCUGUGUAGGUGAUGAAAGCAGUGGGUCUUCGUUGUAUUGCUUUGGAUGGGAGUUUUGAAGCCUAGAAAUUUCAUGUCUACAUGGACGGUACCUUUUUGCUGAGGCUAAUAAACUUGUUAGCCUCGGUUGGGGAAGCCCUAAUGGUACCUGAGACUGUAGGAUAUUCCUGCAGUCCUGCUGCUAUAGAUUGCACACAUGGCUGUUAUGCGAGAUACUAAGGCCUUGUUUAGUUUCCAAAAAAUUUUGCAAAAUUUUUCAGAUUUCCUGUCACAUCAAAUUUUUAGAUGUAUGCAUGGAGUAUUAAAUAUAGACGAAAAUAAAAACUAAUUACACAGUUUUGUCGAAAUUGACGAGACGAAUCUUUUGAGUCUAGUUAGUUCAUGAUUGGACAAUAUUUGUCAAAUACAAACGAAAUUGGUACUAUUCACAUUUUGCAAAAUAUUUUACAAGUAAACGAGGCCUAAUAACAAAGCGCACUGUGACGGCCACUUGGCCAAUAUAUAUAGUUCCAUGCUCCAGCUGGCCACUGGCCCAGUGCGUGCAUGGCUGCGUCGAGCGACACAUCUCUCCAUGCAACGCACAACAGAGAAAAAGACAUCCAUGGCACUUUCAGGAAACCAAACCAGGCUUUAAAAUUUCGACCCGUCUAGAUGCCAUGAACCCCCCUUAGGCCUUGUUUAGUUCACCCAAAAAGUAAAAAGUUUUCAAGAUUCCCCGCCACAUCGAAUCUUGCGGCACAUGCAUGAAGCAUUAAAUAUAGAUAAAAGCAAAAACUAAUUACAUAGUUUAGCUGGAAAUCGCGAGACGAAUAUUUUGAUCCUAGUUAGUCUAUAAUUGGAUAAUAUUUGUCACAAACAAAUAAAAGUCUUACAGUACCGAAAUCCGAAAUCUUUUCGGAACUAAACAAGGCCUUAGAUCGUUGGUCACUGAUCAGCGUCCAGAUCACGCCUACGCGGCCUACCUCGUCAGGGUCGGAGCACCCAAAAGUUGCGUCGCCUUGCGAUUAUCUGUCCUCCAGCUACCAUUGCUCACAGAGUCACAGUAGCAUCCACCAAGUGGUUCCUGCAAGGUGUUCCUUCCUUCCUUUCUGGGCUCUGUCUGAACCGUCCCUGGUAAUCCUGCAGGCAGUAGUUUGCUCUGUUUGGUUUUUGCCACCUGAAAAAAGCGUCUUCACUCUUCAGGUUCAGUAGUGCGUCAUGUUCAUGGACAUCAAAUUUUAUAGCUAGGAGUAGUAGCUAGUACUAGCAGAGAGGUGCUUGAGCUGCCACUAUAGAUAGAUUGGGCAAUAUGCAAUGAUCUGUGCGGGCGCACCUCUGGGCACUGCAAUACGCUGCGCCGCCGUUUUGUAAAGAGAAAACCGCUCGCGCUUAGGAGUACACGUGUCGCCUUAGAAUUCAUGGAAAUAUUUAGUUAUGCGGCUAGCUUUACCUGCAACUUUGGCAGCAUUGCAAUUGCAACAAGCACUGCAGUAUCAGGUGAUCUUUUGGCUCUUAACUUUAUUUACCUUUUCUUAAUUUUUCUAAGGAAGCUUUAUAGGACAUGUGAAGGCCGAGAAAGGCCCAGAAAUACCGUAGCUCGCGUACGAUUCCAGAAGGUCCACUGACAGCCCACUAUCCAUGCAGAAGCAUUCGGCCCAUCAACAAACUGUUUUCACUCUGCUGGCCCACAAUUCUCUUUCGGCCUCUCCACGUUCGCAGUUUAUCUAUAUUUAUUUUCUGUUCCUUUUUUCUACUUCAGAACAAACGGUAUAUGUUUGUUGCUCCAUUUCAAAUUAUAGUAUAUGUCAGUUGUUUUAAGUCAAACUCUGAUCAAAUUUAUAAAAACUGGUAUAUGUUUGUUGUACUAGUAUUGGGUAUCAGAGAAAUAUUGGGUACUAGUAUUGGGUAUUAAAUUUGGAAACAUGAUUCACUUGAUCCGAAAUUUUUCAGAUAAUCUGAAUCUCCACCCCUAGCCCUAAGGAGAUUUUAGCGUCUCUGCCGGAAUCUGAAACAUCACGAGUGUAGACAUACUAUAUAUUUGGAGGCUUUGCAGACUUCCUUUUCAGUUUAUCUUGGGUCACCUGACGCAUUCAAUUCUGUGCCCAUCUCUUGAAUUUUCUCAGCGCAGAACCGCUCAGACGCUCACACUUGUAGGAUGCCCCGUUUCUAAUACACUGUUCCUCCUCUAGUCUCAUUCAUAGUGAUAGUGAGUAUACAGGCUACAGUGGGCUCAUUCGUAGUACUGUACUACUGCGAGACGGCACCUGUUCAAACUUGUCAUCCGGAAAAAAGGAAAACACACGCCAUUUCCUUGACAAGCUUGGGACCUGGAUCCGGCGUGGAUGAGGCGACCGAUCGAUGAUCCAGUCCUCCCGACUCCACGCCGUCUCUGUCAGCAAGAGCCCGCGAGCGAGGUCCUCGAGUCGACACGCAUUGAAGCAGGUGGCAGAAACCCAGACGUCACGUACACCGGCCGGCCCGCUGCCCCCCUACUCGAUCGUGUUCCAUCCAUCCGGCCAGCCCAGACAUGCAUGCAUGGCAUCCGGCGCAACGAGACGCUCGCUCAGCUCAGCCGUCGUCGCAUUGACAAAAACUCAGCCCGGCCCAGCGCCCCGAAGCUUCCCCCACAGUCACCACACAUCAGGGCGUGCCGCUGCGCUCGCGGUUUUGCAUGUUCCCCCUGUUGUGUUGCCGCACGAAUGAAAAUCAGUGUGGGUGACCUUGCGAUGGAUAAAACUGAUCUUAUCUCUCUUUUUAAAUACAUAUUUAUAUGAUAAACAACCUAUUUAAUACAAAUAAAACUCCGACGAAACUCCCACGAGGCCUUGUUCAGUUCUCAAAAUUUUGGAUUUUUGGACACCGUAGCAAUUUUAUUUUUAUUUGACAAAUAUUAUCCAAUUAUGGACUAACUAAGUUCAAAAGAUUCAUCUCGUGAUUUACAGAUAAACUGUGUAAUUAAUUUUUUAUUUUCAUCUAUAUUUAACGCUUCAUACAUGUGCCAUAAGAUUCGAUAGGAUAGAGAAUCUUGAAUUUUUUUUUUUAAGCUAAACAAGCCUUUAAGUUCGGCCCAUUGAGCGUGCUGUCGACUGGCCUGGUCGAGCGAUCGCUUUCCCCCCAGGCCGAGGUCAUUCGGUCCGGUGAGCUUCCGAGUGAGUUUCCCUGAUGAGAAUCCCGUACGCGCACUCUCAACUUCGAGAGUCCUCACUCCUCUGGAACUGGAAAUCAUGUGCACACCGUUCUGAUCCACCUCUGAAGAAAAGCCGUGGAUGCAGAGUGUGGUGACACGACACGACACGCGAUCGAUCGAUCCAUGCAUAUACCGCAUACGUUCAAAUCUAUGCUUCAGUUUUAAAUUCCUGCGUCAAUAUGUAUACGCAAACGCAGUUGUAACAUCGCGCUGGUUUUGGUUGGUUGGAGCUUAGCGGUGACGGUGAAUUACUUUAUUCGUUUACUCGUUAUUACCCAAGGACGAUCCGGGUCAAAUAGACCAGUAUCCCGCAACGGAACUGAUCAUGUGCCAUAUACUGUAUUUUUUUCUAGUAGGAUAGUGAACGCUUUGGCAUGUACUCAAUACAUUUGUUAGUCAAAAUCUCCCAAUUCUUUUUAACCAUCUUCGCAUGUCUUUUAGUGUUUGAGUCCAUGCAUGCAUGCCUAGUGUGUAUAACUGUAAUACCCGAUUUUAAGGACAAAACCAGAUAUACACUAUAUAUGAGUUUUAGAAGUCAAUUCUCAUAUAUAGCUACAAAUAAGGGGUAAUAUCAAAAGACAAUGCAUAAAUAUAUAACGUACUUAGUAUAAAAGAGAUAACCUUUGAUAACAAACAGCGGAUAGACAACUCCAAACUUCGGGUAUUAACUUCUCUCUACAGGAUCCAACUGACUGGUUGAUCACAAGCCUAAACUUCUCCUGAGGUUUGGGGAAAUAGCAAGAGUGAGUCCAUGUCGAACUCCACAAGUAUAGCAACUAGAUUGUAUAGCUCCCACAAGCUUAUGAUCAAUGUGACAUAAAUUAUGUAAAGCAUUAAACAAUAAAUAAUGAGCAUAUUUAACACAUAGGAAUCAUUAUCGUCGCAGCAAGAAUCCCCAAGGCCGCUCCUGACCGUGAGCUCGGCUAGUAUACUAGUUUUUAACCCUCUGCAGAGGUUGCACAUCUUUACCCAUGAGUCAUGAUUUACCCUUUCGCCCGAGGUAGCUAAUCUCUUAACCCCCUUCCUAGGGAGGUCGGCAGGGAUCACUAUGAAGUCUUUCAAAGGUUCGUCUAACAAGUUAGGGCCGCUUGGUUUCAUUAGUCAGUCCGUGUGAUUCACCCGCAGGAAUCCACGGUCUGCUAUUCCCCAAUUGCGCCACAACGGGUAACCGCUAACGAGCUAGAAAAGUUACUCAUACUUAACUAAAGCCAGAGCCAUUAUAGCCCUCAUGGUUGCACUGUUGUCCCGGUUAUCACUUACAGAUAAAUCAUCAAGUUGCUAAAAAGUCAUUUUUAUCGUUUAUUACUUAACAUUAAUCUAGCCACAGGAUCAUGGUCACAGAAAUAAAACCUAAAUGCUAUACUUGCCUUAAUCCAAAUGCUCUUGCUUAUCCUUUUGGUUCUGCUGGUCUCACUUGUUGCCAAAGCUUUGAUCUUGAUCACCGAAACUGCUCUCCGUCUAAACUCGAUCAUCGAUCACACAAACAAUCGGAGAAAACAUACACGAAGCAAACAAGGCUAUAAUUAGAACAGUACACCAAGCAUAUAAAAACAGUAUGAAAAGUUUAUAAAAUAAUUCUACGCAUCGCUAUGAUCUCACAAACGUAAAGAUCACGAAAAUCGGAGCUAAAACGGAGGAGAUAUGAUUUUUCUAAGAUUUUAUAUAGAAAAGUAAUUAAUUAAUUAAAGUCACAAAAUUGCAAAGUUUCAAACUGGUGAAUUAAGUUUACUAACAUGUAGAGCUCAUUAUUACUAAUCCAACGCAAUUUGAAUGGUCAAAAACGGAGUUAAAACAAAUAUUUUAUGAGCGAAAUACUGUGAAUGGCAAACUUGUAAUUAUCUAAAAGCGUAUUUUUUUCUUAAGCCGGCAGAGAAUACGUUUUCCAAAUUUGGAAAGCGUAAACCUGCUCGGGCGCCAGGGACUGCGGGUUUAUUUCUAAAUAACUCCGGGGACUCUUUAGCAAAAGUGGCGGCCGAAACGGUAACUUCUGUUCUCGGACGCAGGAUCACGAUCCGACGGUGGGGAUUCAAUCUGGGCGCUGAACUGGCCGACGGUGGCCGGAACAGUGGCACCCGCGGCGACGCCAUGGCCAGGACAUUGCCGGAGCUCGGGAAAUCACGCUACGGUGCGUCAAACUCAAAACCGCGACCAUGGAAACGGAAAGGAGAUCGAUGCGAGCUCACCUAGGGCGAAACCGAGCGUAGGAAGGACGCGGACACGGCUGACGUCGAAGAAUGGCGGCCGGACCCCCUUCCUGCAAGUUCGACGCCGGUUAGGGAGUCGCUGGAAACACUAGAAGCUUUAGGGAACGGACCUGCGGCUUCGCAAGGGCUUCUCCAACAUCGGCAACUACUCACCCGAGCACAAACGCGACGAACACGAAAUUCGCUGAGGCGGAUUGACCCCGGGUCCGCCGAGAUCCGAAAAUCGGUGAUGGCAAGGGCUAGGGUGGCUCCAUGAGCGCGUAGAUUGGAAAGGAGGGUCGAGAAGGAGAUCACGAGGCUUAAAAAGGCUCGGCUUUGGCGGAUUUGGCAGAAAAUCCCGUGCGAAUCGGGAUUUAGCUCCCGAUCGGGAGUCCUGCACGGCUCCGACUAAAGGUUGAAGAAGACCGGCUGACAGGUGGGGUCACAGUGUCAGAGAGAAUAAAGAAUAGGGCCCAGUUGACAGAGGGGAGGUGCGGCUUGGAUGGCCGAGUGGGCCGCUGCGAUGCAAUGGGCCGGGGUGCGAUCGGAGCUGGGCGUUGGGCCUCGCGAAGAAAGGAAAAAGGGGGAGGGAAGCUGGGCCGCGCGCGCUGGUUAGGGAGUAGGCCGGAAGGGGGAGGAAAGGAGGAGUGGGCCUUCGGGCCAGAAUCAGGUGGGGAGAGUUUUGGUUUGUUUUUUUUUUUUCCUUUUUCUUUUAUUCCAAAGCCAUUUGAAACUCUAUUUGAAUUUUGAGUUCAAAAACACUCAGCACAGUAAACAAAAUGCAGAAGCAUGAGUGCACAAAAUUGUCGCUACACUCUAUGAUAGAUUUUAUUUUGAUAAAAAUAUUAUUUCUCUAUUUUUCAUGAACACAAAAAUACAAAACUAAAUCAUUUUCCACCUAUUUCAAAAGUUUUAAAAUUUUGGGUGUUACAAAUCUACCCCCCUUAAAAUGAAUCUCGUCCUCGAGAUUCGAAAGAGGCACGGGUUCCAAAAAGAGAGAUAGGAAAAAGAUCUUGAUCAUUAUUUCAACUUGACAACUUGUAUUCCAAAUGCAAGCACUUAUGUUUCGAGAUUACAACUUGUGAACAAAACUUCCAUAAGAUGUCUAUUAUUCGUAAUUGCUCACUGUCCAUCUUGACUACCAACUUUUUGACUUAUACAACUCAAAGGCAUGAUAACUUAGCAUGGGUAUGCCUCCUCAGGUAGGAGUGGACCACCUUGAUACUCAAUUCUUUUCCCUGAUGGUGCGGUUAAGAAAAUUUUCCACUGGGUAGCAUAGAUCACUGCCUUGUGUGCACAUAACCAUCCAUUGCCAAGAACCAAAGGAAUAUUGAGUGACUCUAGCACAAUGAGGUUUACAGUGAAGUUUUCCUUCUUUAUGACAAGAUUGAUAUUUGAGCAAACCUGAUCUGCCUGUAUUUCUUCCAUUGGGGUUUGAACUAACAAAGGCUUUCUUGUCGGACACUUCACCCGUUCGAUUGUCUUUACCAAGUCAGCGGAAAUAAAAGAAUGCGAAGCACUUCGGUCAAACAGAGCAAAAACUAGUACUGAGUCCACUUGAAUAUAGCCUCCCACCACUUUGGUGGCUCCUUGAAUGUUAUGCCUAUCCACAUUGUUCAGUCUUCCAUUGAUAUAAUUUGGCUGUACUUUAUUUCCAGGAGCGGGCUUCUUACGAGCUUUCCUUUUACGCUUCCGUCGUUGUGGAUUUUGAUUUGAUUCGUUGUCAACUUGCUCUUCCCUAUUAUUAUUUUGAUAACACUCAGCUUUGUCAUACUCAUAGCAUCUUUCUUCAAAAUCAAGAUGAUCAUAUUCUUCCCACCUAUCCAUGAGAGGUGUCAUAUUGUGCUCCGGAUUCAUGGGACACUACACUCCCUGUCAUCAAGUGACCAACGUCAGUAACACGGCAAGGAUAGAUGAUCAUAACCAUAGAAUAUCUUAGAAGACAAUUAUCACUCCAAGCUAGUCUUAAAAUGCAUCACUCGUGAUAUCAAGGUACUACCCCUCUUAAAAUGAGAUUGAUUGGGGAACACUAGGGACUACUUCUCCUAUCCUUUUUAGACGCUACACAUCAUAUAGUCUUUUAAAAUUCGCUGUACUGAGUCUCUUGUUCCAACAUUAUCCAAUUCUUCUCCAUGUAACCCCUUUAUUUAGGCUACCCCCCUUAAUAAAGGUCAUCUAGGGGACACAAGAAAGGUAGCUAGCAUGUUUUCCAGACAAGUUAACUAACAUUGAGAACUUAUGACAUCCCAAAGAGCUUCUGUGCAAGAGAACAAACAUGUAUCCUGAAAUUUUUCCGCGAUAUGAAAAACACCAGCAUAGAAAAACAGGUAUAACUCCCAUUCAGUUAAUCCAAUAGAGUUGUAGCUUAUACCGUUAGAAAGAUUAUGAAAUUCCCUACAACUUUCCUGUAGAAGACGUCCUUAGGUUCUGUCUUUAAGCUCAGGUAAAACAGCCAAACAUAAUAUCCUUCCUGAUAAUAUCUCAGCAAAGAUGCAGUAAAUUCCAGAAAUUAUACCUCGAGCUACGUAACUCAUAUGGAGAUGAUCUUUAUAUUGUUGAAAAGCUUAUGAAAUCCUUUACAACUUUUGUAUACAACUUUUCCCCAGAUUCUGUCUUUAAGCUUGGCUGAGAAUAGGAAUUGCCAGAUCUAUCCAGAUUUUGAAACAGAACAGAAACAUCCAAUUGUAAAUAUCAUAUCUCAGGUUCUACUUAUCCAAAUAAGUUCCAGCUUAUACCGUUGGAAAGAAUAGAAAAUUGUCUACAACUUUUCUAUAGAAUACUCUUCCAAAUUCUAUAGUUAUAUAUGUCUAAAACAGUAAGCAACCGAAACUGGUCCAGGUUCUUGACAGCACAGUUGUAUCAUGUUGUGAUUUUUGUAACUUCCAAACCAUAACAGCCAUGAGGGUGAUUCUUGUGGUCAGAGAAAGAUCUUGGAGUCUAGUUGUUUCCAGAAAAAUUUAGUAAACUUUGCACGACCAGAUCUUGAUAUACACUAUGAUUAUUGCAGACUGCUCCAGAAAUCAGCAAAAGACAGAAACAGGAUAUAACCAAACCCAACUACUUAUGUCAUUACUCCGUAUGCCUUAGUUCUAUAAACUAAAUGAAAUUGUGAAGAACUUCACAAAAUCAUUACACUCAUUACAAAGAUCCAAAUCAAACAUAAACAUAAUAACAAGCAAUUAAGCAUUAAAGGUUCACAAGGCACACAAACUCAACUUUCGCUACUAGCGUUUUUAUUACACCAGGGGACACGGACACCUAUAUCUUAGACUUAGUGUGGUUAUCUUCACGAUGCAUCUGUUGCUUCUUUUGUGGACAAGAGCUUAUAUAAUGUCCUUCUUGUUGGCAGUGAUAACACCUUCUCUUAGCUGGUUCCUCUGUGAUGUUAUUUUCCACUGAAGUGUUGUUCGGUGUGUUAUCAACUUGCAUACUCUGAUGGUUUAUCUUUGCCUGGUUAGAUUUCUUUCUACAUUGCUUGAUCCUCCGAGGUUGAAACUCUCUAUAAGUAAUUGUCCACCCAUCUAUGCAUACCUCAUGAGCAGUGGGAUUAGCUUGGGGAAUUUGUUCAUCUCCAAGGUUUGAGUUUUCCUGACGAGAAUUUGAAGCUACAUGUGACAUCUUGGGAUUUGGGUGUUGAUCACUUCCCAAUCUCGGCUCUAGUGCUUUUGCCUUCCUCUUCUUAUCCUCAUUAGUCACACAGGUUGGUUUUGUCUUAACUUCCUUCUUAGAUGACAUAUUCCGAAGACAAGGAAGACCAUAAUGCUCACAACAGUGGCAUUGAUUCUGAUAUCCUGAUGUAUUACUCCCAACGCUUCCAUGAUUUCUCAUAUUUUUCCAAGCUUCUGCUACUUGUCUCCUCACGGGUCCUGAGAUACGUUGUUGAGAGUUCUUAUUCUGAGUUAUUCCUUCCACUACUUGUGUUUGCAUGGCUAGAAGCUUCUCCAUGUCGAAUGCUUUUACGGUUGGAAAAUCUGGUUGCUUUCGUUCCUUCUUGUCAAAGGUCUCCUCGUUAUGAUCCAUCUAAAGAGACAAAGAGAGAGGAUUUAGAAUAGAGACAAGAUUUUAUAAAAGAACUAGGCAAGAGGUAAGCAUAACUUUUAGCAACUAUCAAGGUCAAGGCGAAAAGCAAGAAGUAAGCAAAGAUGGAAGCAUGCCAAAACGUCCAGUUCUAACUAGGCUUGCGUCCUACAGUCAGCAUUGCUUUGAUACCACUUUGUAAUACCCGAUUUUAAGGACAAAACCAGAUAUACACUAUAUAUGAGUUUUAGAAGUCAAUUCUCAUAUAUAGCUACAAAUAAGGGGUAAUAUCAAAAGACAAUGCAUAAAUAUAUAACGUACUUAGUAUAAAAGAGAUAACCUUUGAUAACAAACAGCGGAUAGACAACUCCAAACUUCGGGUAUUAACUUCUCUCUACAGGAUCCAACUGACUGGUUGAUCACAAGCCUAAACUUCUCCUGAGGUUUGGGGAAAUAGCAAGAGUGAGUCCAUGUCGAACUCCACAAGUAUAGCAACUAGAUUGUAUAGCUCCCACAAGCUUAUGAUCAAUGUGACAUAAAUUAUGUAAAGCAUUAAACAAUAAAUAAUGAGCAUAUUUAACACAUAGGAAUCAUUAUCGUCGCAGCAAGAAUCCCCAAGGCCGCUCCUGACCGUGAGCUCGGCUAGUAUACUAGUUUUUAACCCUCUGCAGAGGUUGCACAUCUUUACCCAUGAGUCAUGAUUUACCCUUUCGCCCGAGGUAGCUAAUCUCUUAACCCCCUUCCUAGGGAGGUCGGCAGGGAUCACUAUGAAGUCUUUCAAAGGUUCGUCUAACAAGUUAGGGCCGCUUGGUUUCAUUAGUCAGUCCGUGUGAUUCACCCGCAGGAAUCCACGGUCUGCUAUUCCCCAAUUGCGCCACAACGGGUAACCGCUAACGAGCUAGAAAAGUUACUCAUACUUAACUAAAGCCAGAGCCAUUAUAGCCCUCAUGGUUGCACUGUUGUCCCGGUUAUCACUUACAGAUAAAUCAUCAAGUUGCUAAAAAGUCAUUUUUAUCGUUUAUUACUUAACAUUAAUCUAGCCACAGGAUCAUGGUCACAGAAAUAAAACCUAAAUGCUAUACUUGCCUUAAUCCAAAUGCUCUUGCUUAUCCUUUUGGUUCUGCUGGUCUCACUUGUUGCCAAAGCUUUGAUCUUGAUCACCGAAACUGCUCUCCGUCUAAACUCGAUCAUCGAUCACACAAACAAUCGGAGAAAACAUACACGAAGCAAACAAGGCUAUAAUUAGAACAGUACACCAAGCAUAUAAAAACAGUAUGAAAAGUUUAUAAAAUAAUUCUACGCAUCGCUAUGAUCUCACAAACGUAAAGAUCACGAAAAUCGGAGCUAAAACGGAGGAGAUAUGAUUUUUCUAAGAUUUUAUAUAGAAAAGUAAUUAAUUAAUUAAAGUCACAAAAUUGCAAAGUUUCAAACUGGUGAAUUAAGUUUACUAACAUGUAGAGCUCAUUAUUACUAAUCCAACGCAAUUUGAAUGGUCAAAAACGGAGUUAAAACAAAUAUUUUAUGAGCGAAAUACUGUGAAUGGCAAACUUGUAAUUAUCUAAAAGCGUAUUUUUUUCUUAAGCCGGCAGAGAAUACGUUUUCCAAAUUUGGAAAGCGUAAACCUGCUCGGGCGCCAGGGACUGCGGGUUUAUUUCUAAAUAACUCCGGGGACUCUUUAGCAAAAGUGGCGGCCGAAACGGUAACUUCUGUUCUCGGACGCAGGAUCACGAUCCGACGGUGGGGAUUCAAUCUGGGCGCUGAACUGGCCGACGGUGGCCGGAACAGUGGCACCCGCGGCGACGCCAUGGCCAGGACAUUGCCGGAGCUCGGGAAAUCACGCUACGGUGCGUCAAACUCAAAACCGCGACCAUGGAAACGGAAAGGAGAUCGAUGCGAGCUCACCUAGGGCGAAACCGAGCGUAGGAAGGACGCGGACACGGCUGACGUCGAAGAAUGGCGGCCGGACCCCCUUCCUGCAAGUUCGACGCCGGUUAGGGAGUCGCUGGAAACACUAGAAGCUUUAGGGAACGGACCUGCGGCUUCGCAAGGGCUUCUCCAACAUCGGCAACUACUCACCCGAGCACAAACGCGACGAACACGAAAUUCGCUGAGGCGGAUUGACCCCGGGUCCGCCGAGAUCCGAAAAUCGGUGAUGGCAAGGGCUAGGGUGGCUCCAUGAGCGCGUAGAUUGGAAAGGAGGGUCGAGAAGGAGAUCACGAGGCUUAAAAAGGCUCGGCUUUGGCGGAUUUGGCAGAAAAUCCCGUGCGAAUCGGGAUUUAGCUCCCGAUCGGGAGUCCUGCACGGCUCCGACUAAAGGUUGAAGAAGACCGGCUGACAGGUGGGGUCACAGUGUCAGAGAGAAUAAAGAAUAGGGCCCAGUUGACAGAGGGGAGGUGCGGCUUGGAUGGCCGAGUGGGCCGCUGCGAUGCAAUGGGCCGGGGUGCGAUCGGAGCUGGGCGUUGGGCCUCGCGAAGAAAGGAAAAAGGGGGAGGGAAGCUGGGCCGCGCGCGCUGGUUAGGGAGUAGGCCGGAAGGGGGAGGAAAGGAGGAGUGGGCCUUCGGGCCAGAAUCAGGUGGGGAGAGUUUUGGUUUGUUUUUUUUUUUUUUUUUUUCCUUUUUCUUUUAUUCCAAAGCCAUUUGAAACUCUAUUUGAAUUUUGAGUUCAAAAACACUCAGCACAGUAAACAAAAUGCAGAAGCAUGAGUGCACAAAAUUGUCGCUACACUCUAUGAUAGAUUUUAUUUUGAUAAAAAUAUUAUUUCUCUAUUUUUCAUGAACACAAAAAUACAAAACUAAAUCAUUUUCCACCUAUUUCAAAAGUUUUAAAAUUUUGGGUGUU